GAAAGAGGUUUCGUCUCAAAUCCCCAACCUCCUUCUCCGGUUUCCCUCCCAACCGGUUCGAUAACCGGAUAACGUCUUUCAUGUAGGUCUCCACUUCGGUGGCGAGACCAUCGAGAUCGAGGUCGGUGGAGGGAGAAGGGCGGUCCUCGAGCCACGUCACCCGCGCGACCAGGUAGGGUUUGGUGCGGACCACGCUGUUCACGCGGAACCGCUCCUGCCCCUUGCAGAUGAGGAAGAACCGGUCGUCGACGAGACACUCAUGUUUUAUGACUUCGCCGACGCAGCCGACGUUGGCGGUUCCCGAGACGGCGUCGUUGUAGAUGACGCCGAAUCGGAGGUCGGUGUGGAGGAGCGUGUGCAUCAUGAUGCGGUACCGGAACUCGAAGAUCUGCAAGGGAAGGAUGGCGCCGGGGAAGAGAACCAGAGGGAGAGGGAACAGAGGGAGCUCCAACACGUCGUCGGAGUUCGAGGAGUUCGUGUGGUGCUUCUCCGAGAAUGAGGAGGCGGAGCACCGCAGAGUGGAAGCAGGCCUCCGGCGCCGGUGCCGGAGAAAGUCGAGAUUGAAAUGCUGCGGCGGAGAUGUUGGGG
rnacentral:lncRNA from 1 species